rnacentral:lncRNA from 1 species
GCUUUUUUUUUUUUUUUUUCGAGACAGGGGUUCUCUGUGUAGCCCUGGCUGUCCUGGAACUCACUUUGUAGACCAGGCUGCCCUUGAACUCAGAAAUUCGCCUGCCUUUGCCUCCCGAGUGCUGGGAUUAAAGGCGGGCACCACCACGCCCAGCUAGGGCUCUGCUUUGUAGGAUCUGUCAUACGUACUUUAGUCUACAUUAAGAAAAAUCAUGGAUAUCCUCCUUUGAGAUGUUAAAACAAAAGUAUGGAGAAUGUCACUUGAGGAACUUAGAAAGGCUUACAUCACUUGGAAACAAGAUCAAAGGACCAGGAUGUCAAGGCUAGUGAAGGGGUGGCCUUAGGCAAACCUGAAUAAGUCUUACCGGUUAUUUUAAAGGAUUUUAUUUACUUGUAUGUGGUUCCAGAAGGGUGAAGACAACUAUGAGUAGACAAGUGGGCAUUUUGAUGUGAAGGUGCCACAUGAGGGCAGGUGAGGUGCUUUGGAAGAACAGAAGGUAAGAAGUGUACUGUGGGAUGUGAUAGCAUAUGCUGAAGCUAUGAGCUGCCUUUGGUGGUGCAUGAGGAAGACUGAGUUCAUGCCAGCCUUAGCUAUGCAAUGAGAAGCUGUCAAAAGCCACAGGAUGUCCAUUGUGAUCACCUGUGACAGGACUGGGAGACAGUGCUGGGAGUAGCUUCUCUUUCUUUUUCUUUUUCCUUUUCCUUUUCCUUUUUUUUUUUUUUUUUUUUUUGAGACAGGGUUUCUCUGUGUAGCCCUGGCUGUCCUGGAACUCAGAAAUCCACCUGCCUCUGCCUCCCGAGUGCUGGGAUUAAAGGUGGGAGCCACCACUGCCUGGCUUCAUUCUACUUUGUAACCCUCUAUUUGGCUCUGCUCAGUGUUGGGAAUGUCACAAGUUUUUCAGCUUAGGAGGAUGGCCAUGUAUGUGUAAGGUGCAGGAAAGGGAGAGAGUGCAUGGCAAGAGGUGUGAGCAGAAUCAGAGCUGUAGUGGAAUUGCUAAAGCCAGCUGUUCUGCUCUUCCGCUCAUAGAGAUGCUAGUCCUGGCUUCAGGAUGCCUAAUAGACCUGUUUUCAGUUUUGCAGACCACUGGGAGAAGACGCAGGUGGGUGAGUUGACUUACAGCAUAGGAAGUGCAUAGAGCUGAGUCACAAUUGCAGUAGCCCUGGUCCAAGUCCGCAGGCCUUUAGAUGGGACAGCACAGAGCAAUGAGGGGAUUCUGGAAGGGUCCUUGGCAGGGACAUCUGUGAGCAGAAGAAAGUGCAGCCUGCUAGUCCUCAUGAAAUGCUUCAGCAUGGUUAGUAGGGCGAGAUGGUAGGUGGGAGGUAUUUCCCAGAACCACUGUUUGAAGAUCCCUGGGUGCUGUGCCCUUUGUGAUUACAAUUCUUCAGUGUGGUGAGAAAAUUGUGAAAGAACAUCCAGACAGCCAAGAAUGACUGAUGAGAAAGGGGCUGUUGCCAUGCCCAGAUAAGGAUGAAGGGAUUUGCUUGAGUUGUAGUAGAGAUGGGGUAGCAGUCUCUUCAUAAGCAGAUCUGAUAGAUCUCUCUCCUAUCGGAGAGAGUGGUGCUGCCUCUGACCAGGAAGGCAAUGGUAGUGUUUAUAGCCACUGGGGUGGAGCAAGGGCUCAAAAUGGACUGGGUAGUUUGAUGCCAGCCAGUUGAUAUCUUUACUCUUUUUUUUUUUUUUUUUUUUUUUUUAAAUAAGGCUAAUUCUGCCCAUCACAACAUGAUAGGUAUUGAAUAUUCCUUUAUACUGGGGUCUGUCUUUUUGCUUUCAUAUAGAUUUUUUUUUUUUUUAAUUUUAAAGAUUUAGCCUGUAAAAGGGCUAGUGCCUUUUGGGAAUCAGCAUCUGUAGAGUAUAGUCUUUAGCCAUUGGAAAGGUACAUUUUCUUUACAGAGUUUCUUACAGAGGAAAAAGGUAUGUGGUUACUGAAAGAUUUACUCUGGGCUUUAGCUGUGAGUUAAUAUCCAUCUAGCCAUGUCUCCUGGGUGUUAUGGACAGGAAACCAGGUGGGAAUCACAAGGAGGUGUAUUUUUUUCAGUGCUGGGAAUGAGAGAGUGUCACGCUUCAAAACUAGGGCCUUGUACAUAGUAGGCUGUUACUUCACCAGUGAAUGAAUCAGGAUAGAUUUCUGCACUAUUGAAUUUAUGUACCUCUGCUGGGGACUAGACUGCUAUUAUUUGGAGGCCUUAGGUCAGAUCUUUGGAAAGGUUAAAGGUAUUUGGGACACCAAGUCUGUCAGUUUUUGAGCAGUGAGAACUCCAGGGACAUACAGAUAUCACCUUCUCAUUGGUUACAGUGAAAAUCUUUUGGCAGCCCUCCUCCUAUCCUAUGCCGAUAGCCUUUUCCUUUCCAGAAUCCUUCCAUAAUUUACUCACCACACUGGAGAAUGGUAAACAGCUGGAUGGAUGGAUGGGAGUGAGCAUGUAGGGCACAUAGUUGCUGUCACAUUCUAAACUCUGCCACUGUAGCAUGAAAGCACCUCAGAAUGGUAUAGGCAUUGGUGAGUGUGGCUGUGUUCAAUCACAUAUUACUUACAUACCAAAGUGAGUAGGGCUCAGGAAGGUCCAUGAUGAGCUCCAAAUGGAGGGAAGACAUUUGAGUGGGGAAAGCCCAAGGGAGGCAGCAGCUAUGUUGUUAGACCUAGAGGGACUAUGUGGUUCCUCCCAGAAAGAACAGCUCUAGAUGGUAGAGAGGUUGUGUCCCAGCUACAAGUUUUUGUUUUCAGAGGCACUUGGGCUAGAUUGGGGCUGCUUGGGUGACAGGCUGAGGGGCACAGAUUAUUCUCUAGGUGGUGGGUAACGUGACCACAGACACAUUACAUUCAAUAAUGUCGUUCUGAUUAUGGUAGACCAAUGCCUGGAACUACAAAUUACACUUUUCUGCUUAGUAUGGACUAGAUGUGUAAGGGCUGAGGUGCUCUUAGAAUUCUGAUGAAAAGUGCAGUUGGAAUGUUGGAAGGUUUUCUUGCCAGGAUGACUUAGUGAUGAAUGAGUGCUGUUACAUGACAAUUUCACUAACAGUGUUUCAUUGCCUUGCUCUUUUUUUGUAUCCAGGCCAAUUUGGGUUUUGGGCCUUGGUGUGCAAAGGAAAAAUUGUGAAUGUACCCCUGUGUCCCCCCCCCCCCCCCCACACCCUUUAGAACCAAAUCACAGAGCAAGAAAGCUGUAUGUAAUGCAAACUCACUUAAAGCCAGGCCUUGCAGCUUUCUACUGAAAGUUGAGUGCUGCCCUGGUGCAUCCUGGACCUUGAGGGCACCCUGCUCUCCUCUAGGUAAUUUCCUCAGGGCAGUUUUUAGCCAGGUUGAGAAGCAUCUUUCAUUUAGAAAGUUCCAACAACAACUGCUUGCUUUCAGUGAGCUUUUGUGAUCUGCAGCCAUCCUUCAAGGUGAUGUGCCUAGGAGACAUGUUGGCCUUGCUUAGCUUCCUCUAGUGCAAUGGUUCUCAACCUUCCUAAUACUGCUGUCUCUUUAAUGCAGUUCCUCACAUUGAGGUGACCCCCAGCCAGGAGAUCAUUUUUGUUACUACUUCAUAAUUAUAAUUUUGCUACUGUUAAGAAUCAUGCCAGAGCGGGCUCGACCCACAGGUUGAGAAUCAAUGUUCUUAUACAGAUAUGCUGCCUUGGAUUUUGCUGCCUCGUAAGAUAUGGGAUAGCUCUGAUGCUGAUAGUAGUAUUCUUCAAAAUUUUCUAGAGAAGUUUCUGAGUUCAUGGAAGGGAAUAUGAUUUGAGUAUGGAAUAGAUGGAAACUGGCUCAGUCUUGGCAGUGUGCAGUCUGUCCUUAGCUGAUAGCAGGAAUAUAUUUUCUUUCUCUCUGGCUUUUCAAGACAGGGUUUCUCUGUGUAUCUCUGGCUGUCCUGGAACUCGAUCUAUAUAGACCUGGCUGCUCUCAAACUCAUAGAGAUCUGCCUGCCCCUGCCUCCCAUGUGCUGGGAUUACAGGGUGUGCACCACCACAUUCGGCUCAGGAAUAUUCUCUUAUUUGGUAGCCAAGUUCUGAAAAGUGCUCUAGCUUAUAGGGUGGUUCCUGUCACUUGGCAUGGUCAGUCAAUGAUAGAACUUUGCCUGUUGACUGUGUCAUAGCCUUCAGUUAAUGCCAUGAUGAUGAUC